CGCGAAGGGACUGAACUCGUAAAACUCAUGUGUACAACUUCGCCAUAGCUAGGAUCUUGCCUCCUCGUACCUACCCCUCAUUCUACUCUUAGAUCCACGACACGCACCGCGCUUGUCUGCCACCACCACCUCCUCUCGCGCUCGCAGGAGCCGCCCCAACGCGAGCUACAGGACGUCCUGUAGAUGGAGACCCGCUCCGCUCCAGUGUCCAGUCUCCGGUGCCGCAAAUUCGCCGGGUCACGACGUGCUCUGUUGUGUCCUGCACACAAUCCCACUCUGCCGAUUUACUCCUACAAGAGAAGAACCUGGACUUUGAGCCCGAGGUGAGUCAGAUCUCGUGUCUCCUUUGGAGAUUGGGCUCCACUCAGUCCAGCAUGUUUAGGAGGAGCUGCUGUUGAGAUUUCUAAGAUUGGUGGUGGUGUCCUGGCGGCGUUCGCAUUGGCGGGGUACCAGAGAGACCCCAGAGAGGAGAACUGGGUGAUUCUUCAAUUGUUUGUUUGAUGGAUGUUUCCACAAUGAACCAGAAAAAAAAAACCUCCAGUUUGACUAAAAUGCAAAAAAGAAGAGAGGACAGGCUGAUUUAUACUAGUAAUUUCCAGACAGACAAGCAAGAGAGGGCAGUUCUGUUAACUUCUUGGUGAAUCCAACUAUCUUCAACACUUCAACUAUACACAGAAGUUUAACCUUUAAACAGAGGUGUGAUCAUAUUGUUGGACUGAAAAAGCAGUUCCGGUUCGUGUUCUGAGUCCACGUGCAGGACAGGCUAAAUUGAUAUAUGGAGCAUAGUGGACUGGAGAGUAUGCAUGCUGGAAGAGAGAAAGCAUCAAAUUUACCAUGCGCAAGUUUGGAGAACAUCAUGGAAGAUUCCUCUUAUGAGCGAAUAAACAGCCAGGGUGUAUCUCGGCAUGUUUACAAGGUAAUUACAGGGUCCUGCGAGGCACUUGAUGUCCAUCCACUCGAACUCCGCUUUCCUUUGGAUUACAACACGUUAAUCCUGUGCCCGCUUCACCUAACAAAUAACACAGAUGAACAAGUGGCAUUUAAACUUAUGCCAAAGAGAGGGAUAUAUUCAUGCUUCCGUAAUAUUCCACUGUAUGGUGUUGUGCCGCAGCGGUCUAGUUACACUCUCAUUGUGAUAAUGACACCGCCGGCUAAGCGGUCAGAAGAUACAGAUUUUGAUCUGAUCCUGCAGAGUAUUAAAUUUGGGGAGGGUAUCAUCCAAGGCCAAUGUAAUGACCGAUCUUUUGAGGCAGCCAAAGAGGUGGGCACAGGGAUGCAUGAGGUGACAUUAAAAGCUGUUUCUGCUCCACAAGGAGAGACAAUAUAUAAGCACACCAUCCCACCUGUAAUGAAGGUCAUAUCUGUAGAAAGGGCUCGUCAGGAGCUGUAUUCCAUAGAUGCAAAUCCGGAAAAAUCAUGGAUUAUAAUAGGUCAUUCCGGUGGAUAUGUUCGUAUAUGGGACUAUGUCACACAGAGAUGGAGGGGUUCAAUAGAAAUCUGUAGGGGACCAGUUAACUGCAUUAAAUUUAUUGCUCGAAAGCAAUGGUUUGUGGCUGGGUCCUCUGAUGGUAUCCAUGUACAAGAGGAAGCAAUAAAAAAGAAGAAAAUCCAGAGAUUCAGAGCUCGUGUUAGCUCUGUCACAUCACUGGCCGUUCAUCCAACCAAGCCGUAUGUGGUUUCAUCAUCCUAUGGCGGACUGAUAAAGCUUUGGGACUGGGACAAGGGAUGGGAAUGCAUAACAACAUUUGAAGGGGAACACUCUGAUGUUGUAUGUCAACUCGCAUUUAAUCCAAAUGACACGAACAGUUUCGCUAGUGUGUCGAACGAUCGCACAAUAAAGGUUUGGGGUCUUGAUUCACCCAAAUCCCAUUACACUCUGUCUGGCCAUUCAGAUAAUGUGAAAUGCCUGGAUUUCUUCACACGUGAUGAUGGGCAAUACUUGAUUACUGGUUCUGUUGAUAAUACUGCCAAGAUAUGGGACUUGCAGAAAAAGACGUGCAUUCUUACACUGGAAGUUUUUAGGUCUCCAGUCAUUUAUGUCUUCUCCCAUCCCAAUCUUCCAGUUCUAAUUACAGGUACAAGAAAUGGCAUCAUUUAUUUGUGGAGCUCCACCGAUUUCAGGUAAUCUCGAGAGUGUUGCUCUUGUGAAAAAUGGGCACAGGAUUGCGGUGCCACCAUUCUUGUUCAUAUUCAUUUUUUAAGGGAAAGCCAAUAUAUUUUGCCUAAACCCACUCUGAUUAUCUCUGUUGUUGUCGAUUUCGCUAAAACCGACUAAACUAGGUGUCUGAUCUUGUCUAUACAUAUAGUGCUAUAACCCGAAACACAAGCUGAACCGAGACCUAGCCCCGAACCCUUACCACCAUGUUGCUAGAGGGAUGGGGUAUCUGAAGUUGGUCAUCAUACAUACUCCCUCUGUCCCGUAAUGCUUAGGGGAAUUCUCAACAUCUUACGUGGGGCAGAUGUUAUGGGUCUUGCAUGCUUGAUGGAGUCAAGGAGGGUCGUGAUUGGACAAAGCCACGCCAUAUCUAUAGUGGAUAUUGACGAUGAAGAAACAAUUGGUGGCAAGGGCGACAACGAAAGUUCCAUAUGAGCUAGCUGACCAAUGGCAUCUUUUGGUUUCGGAACAUUGAUCACUAUGGAUUAUGAUCGGACAUAGGGAUGGAUUUGUAAUUAUGGAGGUUAACCAUGAAGGCUUUGUUGGUACGGACGGCAGAGAAAAUUCCACAUGUUAUGAUCAACAUGUGGAGAAAUUAAUUACUGUCCUUGUUGACCAAGUUCAGGCGGAUAUAGAAAAUCAUCGGCACAAGCAUUGGCUACCUUAUGUUCGGUUGUUUCUCCAGGAAGCCUACCAGCUGGCAACCAAGAUUUGUUUUAAGAAGUUGAUGGUACAAAUAGUUUCUCGGUAAUGAUACUCAUUCUUGGUGUAGCGGAAUACUAAUGUGCUAUGCCAGUAUGUAUGUGAUUAUGUGGUUGAAGCACAGUGGUUCAUUUGUAUGUGAUUCUGUAUCCACAUGAUACAUCUUAAGAGUUCACAAUGUAGUUUAUUUGUA